rnacentral:rRNA from 1 species
AUGGCAGGAGGUACGCUUAACAUAAGCUUACACGACGAACUCGAUGCAGUCCUCCAUGUCAUAGGCCAGCUCACGGAUCUGCCUCACCUAGAAAAUCACCACAGGGUUUUCCAUGCACUUCCCAUUGGCCACCUUGAGGAAAGACUGCAUCCUCUAGAACUCGCUGGUGACGAACACCAGGUGAAGCUGCGCGCUAUCGUUCCAGAUGAUGCAGUCCUUCCUGAAGGUGGCCAAUGCAGAUAUUCCUCCAGCUUGGCCAAACCAACUGCUAGGUUCUCACCAGGGGUUCUCCAUGCGCUCCGCCUUGAUGAAGGCCUGCAUCAUCUGAAACUCGCCGGUGAUGAACACCACAUCACGCUGUAUGCUAUCGCACCGACGAGUUCGAGAUGA